AGCGAACGUUAGCGGCGGGCCUAACACAUGCAAGUCGAGCGAGAAAAGGGCUUCGGCCCCGAGUAAAGCGGCGGACGGGUGAGUAACACGUAGGUAAUCUUCCCUUGAGCGGGGGACAACGAGCCGAAAGGCUCGCUAAUACCGCAUACGUUUCUCGGGACUCCGGUCCUGGGAAGGAAAGCUAGGCCGCAAGGUCCGGCACUCGAGGAGGAGCCUGCGUCGCAUCAGCUAGUUGGGGGGGUAACGGCCUACCAAGGCGAAGACGCGUAGCUGGUCUGAGAGGAUGAUCAGCCACACUGAAACUGAGACACGGUUCAGACUCCUACGGGAGGCAGCAGUGGGGAAUAUUGGACAAUGGGCGCAAGCCUGAUCCAGCCACGCCGCGUGAGUGAUGAAGGCCUUCGGGUCGUAAAGCUCUGUGGGGAGGGACGAACCGCCGUUGGUGCAUAGCCAACGGCAUGACGGUACCUCCUUAGCAAGCACCGGCUAACUUCGUGCCAGCCGCCGCGGUAAAAC
rnacentral:rRNA from 1 species